CAUGCCGUAAACGAUGAUAACUAAAUAUUGCCGCGAGGCAGUGUUGCAGCUAACGCAUUAAGUUAUCCGCCUGGGGAGUACGGUCGCAAGACUGAAACUUAAAGGAAUUGACGGGGACCCGCACAAGCAGUGGAGCAUGUGGUUUAAUUCGACGCAACGCGAAGAACCUUACCAGGGCUUGACAUAUUGAUUACUACUCUCUAGGAAACUAGAGGAGACUAUAAAUACAGGUGG
rnacentral:rRNA from 1 species